GGCCCCGCGGCCGGGCCCUCACCGAGGCGCGGACACCCCCGCUUCCCGGCCUGGAAAAUAGCCACGAGCUGCGGCAAGACGGCCCCGAAGCUGCAGCUAGAAAAAGAUUUACUCCAUGGUUUGAAAUCUGGCUGGAAGAGAGAGGGAGUCCAGAGCAGCAGUCCCUGCCCAGAGCACCACUUCAUUGGAUUGUGUCAGGUUGAGAGAGGGCUAUGUGGAAAAAAUCUUGGUUCUCCAUUGCCACUGAAGCAGUGCCAAUAACAGAAAAACCUCAGGCUGCAGAGGGGGUACCCAACUGCAAACUUUUACAAGCCCUAAAAACUUACAUUGUACAUGAAUUUUCAAAAACUGAAGAUUAAUUACAUGUUUUGUUUUGCACAAUGCCUGUUUGAAUUAUAUCUACUUCUAAUACUACUCUUUUCAUAAAGUUACUGUUGUUCUCACUAUACAGCACACCAAGAAUCAUUAAAAUCUGAGGAAGUUUGUUGUUUGACAUGGUUAAUCCAUUUAUCUAAGCCCAUGUGAUCACCAGGAGAAAUGGCAACACAUUAGUUCCCUCCUGCCCAAGCAAAAUACAAACACUUUGUAUUACAUGACAUUAUAUCAUAAACUUUGGUAACCAGUAUUUCCCUUCACAAAAACCACACGUUGCCCUCUGCCUUUAGCAGGCACACAUGGGUUCCAACUGCCUGCCAUUAAGUUUCAGCUUUUAAAAUCUGCAAACAAACAUACGGUAGAAGUUAAAAUUAUGCACUGCUGCUAAAUUUGCUGUGUGUACUGCAGGAGGAUAGUCUGAAAAAACCAUG